GGAUGGUGCUUAAUUUGCAAAUGUUUUGCAUGAAUUAAAAUUGCAACUUGAGAGCACAUGAUUAUUUACAGUAUUUAGUUUGCCAUUCUCUCCUAUUUGCAUAACAGAAAGAAGAUCACACAAAGGCCCUGAGCUGAGAGGAAUGAUCUGGUUGGGGUGCCCUCUGGGUGAUUUGUUUUGGCAAGAAGUACUUCUUUGACAUGUGUAUGUGGCCAUGGUGUGUCGGCUUGCGGAGGCCACAGGGUGAGGUGGUGUGAUGUAUUGAACAAGACUGACCUUGGGAAGGGUCUGGCUUUCACUCCACAAUUCUCUGACCCUGCUCUUUCCCCAACGCUGGCUGCCAUCAUAACGAGUGCACUGAAAAAUGACUGGAUGGUGCUCUACUCCUUUGUCUCUGUGGAUUCACAUUGCUUCCAGUGUCAGAGGAGCGGCCUCCCCUGAAGCGCUGCUGAGCAUGGAAGCCUGCUUGGCAAGUGGAGAUAGUGGCCGUGUUACAGCAGGGGGUUCACAGAGUCAGCAGUCUGGAGAGAACAAAGCAACAUGCCUUGGGUUCUGUGACCUGCCUGGCUACAGCAGACGUUUGUGCAGUCCCUGCUCAGAUGUAAACUAAAAGAAGUGGGAGAACCAGCCCAAAGGAUAUUUCUUAUUGUUUACUAGAGUUCUUCAGAGGUGAUAACUGCGGUGUGGGGGAAAACUAAUGAUCUGCCCUGCCAACUCUCUGGACCUUGACUCAUAUAGUAGAUGCAGUGCAGGAUACAUUUUUUCUGCUGAACAGAUGAUGUGUUGAGGUCAUGGGUUUUAGCUCUGUCUUAGCAGUCAGUUUAUGUCCUAAGCCGCCUUUGGCUUUUUAUGGCUUUUUUGGUAAUAAGCAGGAAAUAUAUUGCAAUGAUGACAAAAAGUAUGUG
ensembl:lncRNA